CCUACGGGUGGCUGCAGUGGGGAAUAUUGGACAAUGGGGGCAACCCCGAUCCAGCCAUGCCGCGUGUGUGAAGAAGGCCCUCGGGUUGUAAAGCACUUUCAGUGAGGAAGAACGCCUGGUGGUUAAUACCCAUCAGGAAAGACAUCACUCACAGAAGAAGCACCGGCUAACUCCGUGCCAGCAGCCGCGGUAAUACGGAGGGUGCGAGCGUUAAUCGGAAUUACUGGGCGUAAAGCGCGCGUAGGUGGCUUGAUAAGCCGGUUGUGAAAGCCCCGGGCUCAACCUGGGAACGGCAUCCGGAACUGUCAAGCUAGAGUGCAGGAGAGGAAGGUAGAAUUCCCGGUGUAGCGGUGAAAUGCGUAGAGAUCGGGAGGAAUACCAGUGGCGAAGGCGGCCUUCUGGACUGACACUGACACUGAGGUGCGAAAGCGUGGGUAGCAAACAGGAUUAGAUACCCUUGUAGUC
rnacentral:rRNA from 1 species